rnacentral:rRNA from 1 species
UACGUAGGGACCAAGCGUUGUUCGGAUUUACUGGGCGUAAAGGGCGCGUAGGCGGCGCGGUAAGUCACUUGUGAAAUCUCUGAGCUUAACUCAGAACGGCCAAGUGAUACUGCAGUGCUAGAGUGUGGAAGGGGCAAUCGGAAUUCUUGGUGUAGCGGUGAAAUGCGUAGAUAUCGGGAGGAACAUCUGUGGCGAAGGCGACACCCUGGACCAGCACUGACACUGAGGCACGAAAGCGUGGGGAGCAAACAGG